UGGGGAAUUUUCCGCAAUGGGCGAAAGCCUGACGGAGCAAUGCCGCGUGGAGGUGGAAGGCCUACGGGUCGUCAACUUCUUUUCUCCGAGAAGAAACAAUGACGGUAUCUGAGGAAUAAGCAUCGGCUAACUCUGUGUCAG
rnacentral:rRNA from 1 species